rnacentral:misc_RNA from 1 species
AACGCACCUUGCGCCCAUUGGCAUUCCACUGGGCACGCCUGUUUGAGUGUCACGUCAACCAUCGCCCGCAAUGAUUGUCAUGAUCGUCGCGGCGCGGAUUUGGACGCUGCCGUCGUUGGCUCGUCUCGAAAUGCAUUAGCCGUCGAAGGACCGCGCUCCGGUGUGAUAAUUGUUGGUUAUAUGCGCCGUGCACGUGUCUGGUGAAGGCUCACAGUCGUCCGCGAGGACACAUAACUAAAGCUCUGGCCUCAAAUCAGGUGGGACUACCCGCUGAACUUAA